rnacentral:rRNA from 1 species
UAACCUGCCCAAGAGAUCGGGAUAACACCUGGAAACAGAUGCUAAUACCGGAUAACAACAGAUGAUGCCUAUCAACUGUUUAAAAGAUGGUUAUGCUAUCACUCUUGGAUGGACCUGCGGUGCAUUAGCUAGUUGGUAGGGUAACGGCCUACCAAGGCGAUGAUGCAUAGCCGAGUUGAGAGACUGAUAGGCCACAUUGGGACUGAGACACGGCCCAAACUCCUACGGGAGGCAGCAGGU